UUUAAUACACAAUGUUCUCUCCUUUAGUGAUGAACUGGCUGAAUAAAGUUGCUGAUGUGGGAAAAGGUAUUGCUAAUGGAGUCUGUCGAACAGUCACUCUCAUCUAAUCCAAACUGAACAGCAUUUAGAAAGCCACCAAUAGAAAUUACCUUGGUUGCUGCUCUGAGAUUUCAUUGGUUAACCACAAGCCCCACCCACAUUUUAUAGCUCUAAUAAAU